rnacentral:rRNA from 1 species
GCUCAGGACGAACGCUGGCGGCGCGCCUAACACAUGCAAGUCGAACGAGCGAGAGAGAGCUUGCUUUCUCAAGCGAGUGGCGAACGGGUGAGUAACGCGUGAGGAACCUGCCUCAAAGAGGGGGACAACAGUUGGAAACGACUGCUAAUACCGCAUAAGCCCACGGGUCGGCAUCGACCAGAGGGAAAAGGAGCAAUCCGCUUUGAGAUGGCCUCGCGUCCGAUUAGCUAGUUGGUGAGGUAAUGGCCCACCAAGGCAACGAUCGGUAGCCGGACUGAGAGGUUGAACGGCCACAUUGGGACUGAGACACGGCCCAGACUCCUACGGGAGGCAGCAGU